AGCUCUCAGGACAGAUCUCAGAGCCCUGAAGUCUGCUAUUGGCCCUGCACGGUGUGACCUUUGCCAAGGUCACUGCCCCUCCCCUUUCUGUGCCCGGGGGUGGGGUGCUGGCUGUGGCCUCUUCCAGCCAGGGGAAGUGGUGGCUUCACCUUUCGUCAGGUCCUGGGAACUUCCUGCUCCUGAGGCCUGGAAGGCUCACACUUUCCCUCCUGUGCCUUUAUCAGCUCUGUUCCUCUUGCGGGUCACAGCCCAAAUGUUCCUUUGCAGGGAGAUUGGCUGGUGAUGUCUGCUGUCUGGGAAGCAUGCUGUGUUUUGUAUGUGCAGCACUUACAUUGAAAAGGCUGUGCAUUUUGUUGCUGAAAGUCUACUUCUUCUAAAAGCCGUGAGGUGAGCAGCUCUCCUCUGCCAUGACUGUCUGCCAUGAUGCUUCUUCCUCACCACAGCCCUACAGCCAGGGAGCCCUCUGAAACCUCUGAGACUAUGAACCAAGCUCUGGCUCCAUCAUUUCUUGCAACCACGUCCAGGUGGAUCAUCUUCAGCACUGCCCAUCUCAACCCUGAACCCAUCUCCUCCUGGGAAGUCAAUCGGCAAGUUGUCAGCACUGGCCUCAGCAGGAAGCUUUCGUCCCUCAACUCUUCCUGCCAAAAGCUCGGCAAAGCCCACUCCGUCUGGCCUGGUAUUCUGUUGUGCUUCCUGUCUUCUUCCCACUAGGUUUGCUUCCUGAACACAGCCCCUCCUUUGCACACUCCAGAGAGCUGUAUGUAGGCUUUAGGAGAGCUUCCUAGACCUUGGCUUCUUGCCUGCCAGGCCCUUGGUUGCUUCCCUCACAACCUCCAGAGGAAGAAUCCAUGCUCUUCCUUUGGAAACACAUGGGCCAUCUGGGGCCAAUGCUAGUCAUGUCCUUUGGACAGUGUGUCUGGAUUUCCCUCCAGGCCCAGGGUUUGGACAGCACACGAUUGUUCCUGCAGGCUCUACCUACCCUCUUGAAAGGGCCAUUUGGACCCCACCUGCUCCGGGGAGGUAUAGAGAAGCAGAACUCCUCUUCUCCCAACCUCAGAAUUCGACCAAAAGAAGGCACAGUGACCCUGUAGGUUACAUGGGCUUGUGAGACAAAAUCAGGAUUCAAAAAGAGCUUGACAAGCGAAGCCUCCAGGCAGUCUUGUCCUCAUCUGCAUGGUCGCAUGCUCACCUGCAGGAUGAGGAAUAGUUAGCUUUGUAACAUCACCUGAGACACAUACACCGAGCUCUUAGUGCAUUUUCUAGAUGGCUGUCUCCAUGCGAGUCAUCAGUUUGUGAGAUAACUGAGCUCAGACUGCGUUUACACAGCACAGGACUGGGAGGCAGAGGGAAGUGUCAGCUCCGCUGCACGCCGUGCUGGUGGGCUGCACCUGCAACGCGGGUCUAUUCUCAGUAGCCACGUGUUUAGGAAACUAUAAAUAACCCAGAACACAACACCAAAGCCAAAGCACUUACCUUGUUGAGGGCCCAGAGAAUGCUCAGGGCACAGGGGUAGAGGUUUGGGAGCUGUAAAAUGUGUCUUCCCAUGUGUCCUGGGCCAUCAUGGAAUGCUGGUUUACAGGAUCCCAAGGGACUGAUAGUCGGGUAGAAUUUCAUGAGAAGACCUGCGAAUCAAACAGCCCCAAAUGCAGCUGCCAGCAUUGGCAGGAAGAGAGCAUCUCUCUCACGGAAGGAGUCAGCACUGGCAGAGGGCCACACGCUGGGCUGUGGCAGAGGCAAGUGAAGCUUCGGGGGCUGGGGUGUGUGCCUUCUUACAUGCCCUUGCAGCUCUGACACUUUCUGAUUCUACGUCUUCCAAAGCCAGAUCUUCACUGAAGAGAAGGACUGUGUAAAGAAUGUUAUUCACACACACGUGUAAAUAUUGUUUUGUCUCUCUGGUAUGGGAAACUGAAAGGUAAAUAAGGACAAAAAUGUAUAAUAAAAUGAAAUAGGAAGAACUGUUCUAAAGAAAAGGGAAAUUGUUAAGGGUAAGGGAAAAGGGAAGGGAAAGGGGAAAAAAACCAGAAAAGAAGGAAAAAAAUAGAAACAAAGCUUUUGUAAAUAAG
ensembl:lncRNA